UAGUGAUGUUAAAGUGAUGUUACAUGAACAGGUUAAAUGUCGCACACUAACACAGCCACCGUCGCUCGUGUCCUCGACGUGGCGACGGCUCUGCGAUCCUACAUUGACAUGCUAAUCUCUCACAUUACAAUAGCCACCUCCGCGCCCUCGCCGUGGAAGUCGCCCUCCGAUCUUACAAUAACAUGCAAACUUCCCACUUUCUCAUGUGAGGGAUUCUAAACGGUGGGCCCCAGCAUGUAGGGCAGUGAAGGUUGUGUUAAUGUGAGGGGUUACAAACACGGUGUGCCCUAAACAAAAACAUCACUGUAGGCAAGGGCUUAUAACUUUCCGAUGGUCAUUUUAAGAGUUCCAGUUUGACCACGUUUGGCAAUAUGUUGUCCUUUCUCUUGUGGGCGAGGCUCGCACACGGACACGUCGUAUGGAUGUUUCGGGCAACGGAGAGCAAGUGGCGGUGUGAAAAGAGAAUAAAUUAAGAGGCAGCGGACAGGAGGAAAGACCCAGCACAGCAACAAGCGGAGGAAACCAGAAAACCCGGAGGAAACCCAUGGAGAACGGGGAGAGGGAACAGAAAGGUGCCCGAGUCGGGGAUCGUACACAGGCCCUUGAUGCCGUCCUGCCACCCCCAAUGGAAGGAUUUGAGAGAAGGGCUCGGCUGUUGAAGUCGAUUGCACGGAUAAGAUCGGCGUAUGAGAAUCCUGCACCUGCUACACAGUAGGCACGCGACUUCCAAGGUCUCCCACUGUCUGCUCUUCAGCCUCCCCCGUGGUCAUCGGGCCCGUGGAGACUAUUCCAACACCUGUCUCAAUAAAUUGCUGCUCCCCCAACCCUCCACCGCCAUCCUGUGUGCACGGCGAUGGGUAACACGUUCACAAAGUCUCGCUCUCCACGUCAAAUGUUAUCUUUUUUUUUGUUCCUAGACCUAUGGGCACAUUGGUGAACGGACAAAAAAAAACCCAAGGACUGCAUUUAUAGAAUGCAUUUUUACUCAUAAUCUUCCACGACGGCACAUAAUGAGUAUUGCUAUUAUUUGUGUUUUUAAUUAUUAUUAUACGGCUGUUUUCUGUUGAAUUCGCUCCAUAGCUUUUUUUGUGGAUUUUCUGGUCUGGCCUGGAAACGUUUCCUUGUUAGUGUUGCAAAAGGCAUUUGGUUAACUUCUUCAGGUGUGACAUUGGAACAUCGUGUUCAUCUCAAAAAUGUGGUGUUUCCUGUGGCGAAGGCGUACCGCCUUGCAGCCAGCAUGCUAUUCCCAUCAGUCUCCCAUUCAAGUAAUUACCAGGCUCAAUCCUGGCAGAGUAAAUGUCGUUAUUUAUUUAGUUUAUCUGAGGAGAAUACAUUUGUCGCCACUGAAGAUAACAAACGUGCAAUCCUGGGGAUUAAUUUAAAAAAAGCUAGACACAGGGAAAUCCUCCCCCCGUUCGACCAAUCAAAUCACACCUUCAGUCCGUUCAUUAUUUUGCUCUAGAGCUCUGCUUAUAUAGGCCUCCGCUAUUAUUAUGAUUCUUUAUUAUGCAUAAUGGUUCCUUUCGUCUCUUAGGGCUAUUAUUUGUGAUUUACCAAUCACCAUGGUCCUUUUUGAUGCUCUCAUGCUUACAAUGCAGUCUGUUCUCCUAAGUAACGUUGCGUUCCCGAAGAACACCCAGUUAUGCAAGAAUCGCGUUAUACUAAAUAAUAUAUAACAACAGUCCGCGAUAACACGCGGAGAUGCGUACGCAGGCUGAACAAAGACUGAGGCACGUGGGUAGCGUCUAGAAGCAUCCAGCAGCAUCCCGCCUCGUGCGAUGCUACGCCGAGGCAGCCGUGCGACUGCGUUUCUCUACUCGGGCGACGUAGUUCUGUUCACUCAAUCGCGUUAUAUCCAAUGCGCGUCCGCGUUGAAAAAAAUAUUAAAGAGGUGUUCUCUAAUACAUCGAUCGCGUUUCUAUACCUUUCGCAGUAAUGAAAACACGCGUUAUAACAGGAGAACACACUGUAUUUACGGUGAUGACAUCAUCAAUCACUCUGGCAAAGCGUUCUCUGAUUAUUAUUCUUAUUGUUCUCAUUUGGUUCCUAACAGUUUCACAGGGCUCAACAUCGAUAUGCAUAAAACACAACUCGUGUGCGAGUUAGUUAAAUGAAAUGAAUCUAGUUGGAGCGAUGCAGUUGGAAAUUAUAUAACUAAUACACCGAUGGCAAUUAUUGAAGGCAGAAUGGGAUCGACGCGAACGAAGAAAGAGUGGAAUGGGAGUAGCCGAAGUGCUUUGGUGAAAAAGCAGCGCAUUGCCAAUGCACUCGAAGAUAAAAAAAAUAGUGUCCAAUUAGAGCGUACAACUCGCUAUGACAUGUAUCAGAAAUUAUGGACCCCGGCAAAUAACAAAAAAAAAACGUAAGCUGAAACGUGCGUAAAGAACCAUGCGCGUGUGGCAUUACACUGAGGGGUGGACUAACACGUGGAGAAACAUAGCACACAAAGAACACGGGCCGUUCAAGAAGGUCAACUAAGCUUGGAGAGAACGACGCACCGCGUGAAUGGGGUGACGGCCCGGUGAACAAAACACCGGUGGCAACCGAAAGGGCAACCGAAGGAGUGCGCACGCCCACAAGAGGGAUGACCACCCGUCCGGAUGAAGCGACGAGACCAUCCCCGCGCGCUGGAGCAAGACGGAUCGUGGCAUCGUAGUUACCACGACGGGCUGGCAACGGCGCGGGGACGCUCUUCGUUCAGUCGUGGAUAGACAAGGGGGCUGAUAACGAUGGCGACUAAAGGGGGGUGAACAACUUGGGCGUUCGGAAUACACCGUCUGUGUAAUGAGGAAGAGGUGGUUGAGGAGGUUGUGAUGAAUUAUGGAUGAGGAGGGAAAGCUAUUAAGACGGGCAUUAGAGUGAAGGUCAGAGAGCACGGGAGUAACCUAAACCCAGAUAGUUUCACCUUUUAAGAGCAAUGUUUGAUGGCCUCUUGAUCUUGAAAGGUAAUACUUAAAAAAAAUAUAUGUGCAUGCGGAAUCCAACACACUGAAUUAUCAUGCUGUAUAUUUUAUGUAAAAUCACACACCAUGUCAGGAUAAAAAAAGACGUUGAGAUUGAGUGCAUUAGAUUGUGCUCAGGCGAUAAAUAUAAGGUAAUGAAAUCAUUGCAAUUAUCAUGAGCUCAUGGCAGACAAGAACAAACGCAACAUUCGUCCCCGUCUGCUAAAGUAAACACAACAAACACACAGUAUCUUGAUGUACACACCGCAUGUAAAAUCGGGUGUGUUUUAUAGGCUGCCUCGUCUAAGAAGAGUAACUACUGCCGGCACGCGCGGACCCAAUUGCCAAAAUGACAAUGUGAGGCAAUUAUGUUGAAGAAGCGCCUCUAUUGUUUUCCAGAACGCCUGUAGUUUAAAGUACUUAAAUGUUCCAGCCCACACUAAUUCAACUUCCAGUGAGGCUGGGAAUAUAUCUGUGAGUGUGGGGGAAACUGGAAAGCUAUCUGCUGCCUGUGCACGCCUGGACCUGCAAAGAUAUGUUUGAGCAUCUCGGACAUGAUUAACAUGCAUGUUUUGAAGUUUAUCCAGAGGAUGUAGCAACGUUGGAAGACUAACGAACUAACUACAGACUCCUAACUAUAGAUGUGGGGGCUCGGUUCGAUGCGGACUUUCACCUGGUUGGGAUUGCGGGAUCGAGAUAAGGCGACACAGAGCUGGCCGUGCGAGAAGACCGCCGUCUGCAGAUCGAUUUCAACGUCAUCGAACGUUUGUUCCUGCACCUCCGUCGUAAAGCCCACUGUAGCGACCUCAUCACAAAUGAUAGAUCAACCAAGCGGCGUAUCGUGUGGAAAUGUAAAGCGGCCAAAUACUCUAAA